rnacentral:lncRNA from 13 species
CUUGAACCCAGGUUUUAAUCACCAUGCCGUUACUGACCACGUUACUCGGCCUCUUCGUGCAGGAAAAUGUUGCAAUAGAUUCUCAAGGUCCUCUCUCCACCCUUUCACACCUGUGCAGUGAACAACCCCAGGCAGCUUCCAACAAAUUGACCUUCAACCCCUGAGCUCAUGGUAGGUCUUGGAGACAGCUGAGUUGGGUUCCAUGGGCGUGAGGGGUGUGUGCUGACGGACGUGGCUCCGCCGUUUGUGUGGCUGUGGCAUGGUUUGCACUGCUGGGCAAGGGGCUUUACCGGCUAAACAGCCCUGACCUCUACCCACCCUGCACUCUUCCCGGAUUGGAUGAGAUCAGAAGAAGCCACUGAGAAGUUCUUGUGUCUGGGCUCCGGCAGCCUGCGGGAUACCUGCAUUCUUCCCUGCUCCCCAAACGCAGGGUCGGCCCCCACCUGGGGAAGACUGCCAUGGUUCCGCAAAGCCUGGUUGGGAGGAGUCAGUCUGUUUAUGUGAUAUUGAGAGGACCCUGCUUCCAUGGACUGACAUUCUUGCGGACCUGAGCACAGAGCUGACUCUGCCAGCAUCUUUCCACACUAAGCCAGUUCUACCCCGUCCUAUGGGAACCCUGAGAGUUUGGGGCCACACAGGACAGAUGAACCCUCUGUGUGGUCCUGGGCGUGCCACUCAUCACAUUCAGCCCGCUUUCCCCUCUGCAAAAGGAAAACAG